UUCCUUUAAUCGUCAACCCGGAGCCCUACGGGCGGCUAAUGCAAGAGGCCAAAAAUGUUUGGAGGAAGAAAAACAAAGGCAGGAAGUGGCCGCGGCCUGACGGUGCGUGUGUCUGUAGAGAAGGGAGGGAGCCGGUUCAAUCUCCUCUUGUUUUUCCGAACUUCAAGGUCUAGGCAG
rnacentral:lncRNA from 1 species